UACGGGGGGGGUAAGCGUUGUUCGGAAUUACUGGGCGUAAAGGGCUCGUAGGCGGCCAACUAAGUCAGACGUGAAAUCCCUCAGCUUAACUGGGGAACUGCGUCUGAUACUGGAUGGCUUGGAUCCGGGAGAGGGAUGCGGAAUUCCAGGUGUAGCGGUGAAAUGCGUAGAUAUCGAGAGGAACACCGGUGGCGAAGGCGGCGAUCUGGACGAUGACUGACGCUGAGACGCGAAAGCGUGGGGAGCAAACAGG
rnacentral:rRNA from 1 species